GCCACAUUCUAGCGCAGUUGGUUAAGGUGUGGUGCUGAUAACACCAAGGUUGCAGGUUUGAUCCCCAUAUGGGACA